UGGACCAAAGGCAUGUGGGACCUCUAGCUUUUCUUACAGCUGCAUGAGACUCUGAUGUUCUCAAACAAGGAUUUUAAUUGAAAAUACUGAGGCAACAUAAUCUGUCCAUGCCGAGUCCAGACCUACUCCUGAAGCGGUUCGCCCCACGAGUUCAGCAACAGGGCUGUUUUGUAGCGUAUCCUCCUCAGUCCUGUUUUACUCAGCACACAGUCAUGGAGAGCAGGCUCAGUCUCUUCCAUGUCAUGUGCGUUCUGCGCUCUUCCUUCUGGGGGUGAAGACAUCUGUGGUCCACACACACAUUUGUAACAGUUGCUGAACUCAAAGACACUGUGGAAUCUAUAUCAUCAAGCAGUUUAGUGAAGAAAAUAAAAAUACCAUUUAUGAAAUGGAUGGAAAUUCUCUAACAACAAAGCAAAAACAACAAAGCAAAACAUACAACUGAAAGAGCGCAGAGACCACAGGGUCCAGUCUGUAAACACCAGCUCAGUGUCACCUGACAGGAAGCAUCUAUACAAAAUGGAAGGACCCUGUCUAUCACCUCAAAUGUCAUGCGUGUCCCAUGAUGCUCUCCUACAAAGCCUCACUGAGAUUAUUUGGGAACUAAUGAAAAAUCUGAAUCAAAGACAAGUUUUAAGCAAAAGGUAUUUCCUUAAUUUCAAUUAUGAUAAGUCUCUCAAUUUACACGUCAUAGGGAGUGAUUUUUUGACACUCUUAGUAAAGGCAGGAUGUAAGGGAUCGCCAACUUAUUCAACAGAUAAAAUCUCCCAGCUUUAGUACAUUUGGUAUCAGCGAUAGCAUUUAAAAGGCUUGAUCAUCAAUGGUACAGCUUGAGUCUACCAAGAGCCUUACAUCACACGCUGAAUGCAAUUAUAAUUUAUAAUCUGUUAAUUCAAUUAAAUCAGGCAUACAAAAAUAGAUGAGACCCGCCACUUGAGAAUUCUUCAAGGAUCAUCAUUUUAACUCAAUUUUAAAAUAACAACAUUUAUUUUUUUCAGAAAUACUAUGGCUGAACUUCUUAUAAACCCUGAUAGUCUAAUUUUGUGUAAUUUAGCUACAGUCAGUACAGAGUAAGGGGUAGCCAGAGGGCCUCUUAAAGUCUCUUUUAAAGAAGGCCAGAAAUAUUUUAUUAACAAUUAAUUCACUUGCUUCAAUUUAAAUGUGCACUUUUAUAGCACUCUCAGUAACUUGAAAACAGGUCACUCACAGUCCCCACAUUUUGUUUUUACAGGAAGUACAGAAACUUCCUUGAGCUCUAUUUAACUGGAUGAGAACACAGAUUUCUACACAUUACCACUGAUAAAAUAAGUAGUGGCUUGUUUGAAUACAUGUGGCUUAUUUUUUAAAAUGAAUCUACGGCGAGUUCUAAGGAAUUUUAUUAAAUGAACUAGGCCAAGGGUUGCCAGUGAUUUUCUGGGGGAACGUCACAAAUGUUCCUAGGCACACAUCAUCUCAGAUACACAUGCCCACAUGGUGCCGCUCAUCAUGUUACACAGUUGAACCAUUUCAACAGAAGCUCAGAUCCACUGGGCUGUGCCCCUUUUGGAACUGCAUAAAUCUAAAAUGAACUAAACGUAAAACAGUAUUUAACAUUCUUACACAAUCCCUUCUACAUUAUUUGAACAUUAAAUUUCAGCAAGUAACAAUGCACACUUUUUAUUAGUAUUUUAUUUUAAAAUUUAACAUGCCAAGCUAUGAUACAGAAUCAAAAUGGACAUAGGAAAAUUAAACAGAGCCAGGAGUCCUCCACGGCACAGGCAUUCCUCAUGCUACAGAGAGCUGUGUCUCCCUUUCUACAAACCAACUGCUUAUAAGUUCAAACAAUAACUGAGAAUUACUAUUUCAUAAGAACACUCUAGAGAGAGCAAUCUCUCUGCAAGACUAAAAUGCAUUCCUUAGUGACUAGGAGACGACUACAGAGAGAGAUGUAAGAACACAGACUCUUGUGUAGCCACCUCACGGAUUCCACUCCUCACGGCCAAGGACUAGUGCAGAGGUGGAUAAAAAGACUUUACAGACCACAGCUCUGCGCUGCAGGAGUUCAAAGAUCAGUGUUUAUUUCAUGCAAAGCAUACUAAAGUAACACACUUAGCCAUCUCCACAACUUAUCUUCCGUCAGAAUGUAAGGCGACAAAGUCACAGCACCUGGCUCAUAUGCGUAUCCCAGGCACAAGUGACUGCACAGCUGUGGAAAGCCUCAGCUCAAAUAUCAAAAAUUCCUGAUAUAAUAAAAUGGUGUAAACUU
ensembl:antisense Gm12289 predicted gene 12289